AUUGAACGCUGGCGGAAUGCUUUACACAUGCAAGUCGAACGGCAGCACGGGGGCAACCCUGGUGGCGAGUGGCGAACGGGUGAGUAAUACAUCGGAACGUGCCCAGUCGUGGGGGAUAACGUAGCGAAAGUUACGCUAAUACCGCAUACGAUCUACGGAUGAAAGCGGGGGACCGUAAGGCCUCGCGCGAUUGGAGCGGCCGAUGUCAGAUUAGGUAGUUGGUGAGGUAAAGGCUCACCAAGCCGACGAUCUGUAGCUGGUCUGAGAGGACGACCAGCCACACUGGGACUGAGACACGGCCCAGACUCCUACGGGAGGCAGCAGUGGGGAAUUUUGGACAAUGGGCGCAAGCCUGAUCCAGCCAUUCCGCGUGCAGGACGAAGGCCUUCGGGUUGUAAACUGCUUUUGUACGGAACGAAAAGGUUUCCAUUAAUACUGGGAGCUCAUGACGGUACCGUAAGAAUAAGCACCGGCUAACUACGUGCCAGCAGCCGCAGUAA
rnacentral:rRNA from 1 species